CCUACGGGCGGCUGCAGUGGGGAAUAUUGCACAAUGGGGGAAACCCUGAUGCAGCGACGCCGCGUGAGUGAAGAAGUAUCUCGGUACGUAAAGCUCUAUCAGCAGGAAAGAAAAUGACGGUACCUGACUAAGAAGCCCCGGCUAACUACGUGCCAGCAGCCGCGGUAAUACGUAGGGGGCAAGCGUUAUCCGGAUUUACUGGGUUUAAAGGGAGCGUAGACGGCGCUGCAAGUCCGUAGUGAAAGCCCAUGGCUUAACCAUGGUACUGCUCUGGAAACUGUAGAGCUUGAGUGCUGGAGGGGCAGGCGGAAUUCCUAGUGUAGCGGUGAAAUGCGUAGAUAUUAGGAGGAACACCGGCGGCGAAGGCGGCCUGCUGGACCGUAACUGACGUUGAGGCUCGAAAGCGUGGGGAGCAAACAGGAUUAGAUACCCUUGUAGUC
rnacentral:rRNA from 1 species